rnacentral:rRNA from 1 species
GGCAACCCUGACGGAGCAACGCCGCGUGUGGGAGGACGGCCUUCGGGUUGUAAACCACUUUUCUCAGGGAAGAAGGACUGACGGUACCUGAGGAAUAAGCCUCGGCUAACUCCGUGCCAGCAGCCGCGGUAAGACGGAGGAGGCAAGCGUUAUCCGGAAUUAUUGGGCGUAAAGCGUCCGUAGGUGGCUUUUCAAGUCGGCGGUCAAAGACCGGGGCUUAACUCCGGAAAGGCCGUGGAAACUGAAAGGCUAGAGAAAGGUAGGGGUAGGGGGAAUUCCCGGUGUAGCGGUGAAAUGCGUAGAGAUCGGGAAGACACCGGUGCGAAAGCGCCCUACUGGACCUUAUCUGACACUGAGGGACGAAAGCUAGGGGAGCG